AACGAACGCUGGCGGCAUGCCUAAUACAUGCAAGUCGAACGAACACUUCGGUGUUAGUGGCGCACGGGUGCGUAACGCGUGGGAAUCUACCCUUGGGUUCGGAAUAACAGUUGGAAACGACUGCUAAUACCGGAUGAUGACGUAAGUCCAAAGAUUUAUCGCCCAGGGAUGAGCCCGCGUAGGAUUAGCUAGUUGGUGAGGUAAAGGCUCACCAAGGCUACGAUCCUUAGCUGGUCUGAGAGGAUGAUCAGCCACACUGGGACUGAGACACGGCCCAGACUCCUACGGGAGGCAGCAGUAGGGAAUAUUGGACAAUGGGCGAAAGCCUGAUCCAGCAAUGCCGCGUGAGCGAUGAAGGCCUUAGGGUUGUAAAGCUCUUUUACCCGGGAUGAUAAUGACAGUACCGGGAGAAUAAGCCCCGGCUAACUCCGUG
rnacentral:rRNA from 1 species